UUUAAGUCUUUUAUAAAAUAAAACACAAAUAUAUGAAAAUGUGACAUUUACUAAAUAUUUGUCAAUUGAAAAAAAAAUAAAAAUAAACCCGCGCUUUGAAAGCGCGGAUCAAAAUCUAAUUUUGACUUAUAUAGUUGGACGAUUACAUAAUCCCUAUAUAUUGGGCUAGCAUACAUUUUAUUUUCUUUAUGUAAACAGAGUAUAAAUAUAUGGUAUAUUAUAAUUGAAUUCAUUGGUAUAUUAUGAUUGAAUUCAUAAAACAAUCAUUAAGCUAUUUUUGGCAAUACGUGUAUUUGUUUUCCAUAUCAAAUAAAUACUCAAUAACAUUAAUUACUUUUUUUCUUCUAUACCAUAGCAAGUGGCGCCAAUAUUUAGAGAAGAUUCUUUUAUCUCACGCCGGACAACUCACGAAGAUGGCGUAAUGUGCUUUAGCUUAAGUAAAAAUUUAAUAUAUUCCUAGCGAAAUUACCAUCUAUAUAUUGGACCAACAUUGUUUUUCAAUUGAAUAUGAAAUUGCCACGUCAUACUAAUUGUUAUGCUAAUUAAUUGACACCUAAAUUUAAACAAUUUUUUAAUUAGUACAAACUAAAUGUUAUAAUUUUUUUAAUGUUAUUCUAUUAAUAUAAAGGGGAUUUCAUAAUUCAAAUCUAACAAAUAUAGAAAUAUAGUAAUAAUGUUAAUAUGCCAGAAUGAUAUUGGUUUGCUCUUCAAGUGUUUCCGUUUAUUCUUCAAAAUUUUCAUGGGUUUUACGGGCUUUAUGAUCGUGGUUCGUAAGAUACAUAUUUCACGGUGUAAUAUAUAUCUAAUACUCCUCCGCAUGAUAAACGUGAGAUGUACAUCACACAAUCUGCAGUCACAAAGUAGACCACACAUGUCGUAGACACUAUGCCGAGGAAAACAAAUCCAUAGGCUCUUCCGGGUAUAAAAUCCGAUUUAUACAAUGAUGGAUACAAACUUCAGCUCUUCUUAGGUAUUGAAAAAAUGAGAAUACAUCUCGAGGGCGCAAUUGCAGCUCCACAGACAAUCGUCCUUAUUUCAGUCAGUCCAUAACUCGAACUAAACAACUCGAUCUAUAAAUUUGAGCGUGCAACCAGCACUCCCCCAUAAUGAUUAAACUAUAAUCAACAAAUUCCAAACGAUGGAAAAACAAAUACUUUGAGAUAUUCUAGAUUAUACAAUAAAUCUCAGAGAAAAUUAACCCACGUGAAAGCCACAAACCCGUAAACACCAUUAAAUCUCUCUAUAACUCUUGUAUUCACCAAAACCAAACUAUAUAAAAAAGAAUCUAAACAAAAACAAAGCACGUAGAAAAACUGUUGCACGUACCAAAGGAAAACCCACUAAAGCUUUUAAUUAAUAAAACGAAACACUAAGUUUAGUUAGAGAUCACGUGAACACUAACUUAAGCUUAUGUUGCUUCACGUCAUCGUCUUCGGCACCAUAGUCUCCGUCAUUGUCAACACCACCGAUGAUAAGCAUUAUCAAAGCUUAAAACAUAUAACGCAGAAGUAUUAAUCUCUAAAGUCUAAUUUAACAUAGCAUCAGAACCCGAACACACUGUACCCAAUUGAACUGAAAUGAUAAGGCCUAUCAAAAGAAGCCCAAUCGAUCUUAAACCAACCUGACUCGAAUGGUAUGGCGGUCUGACCGAACUGAAUCCUAGAUCUUGAUUCUCGAGGGAGAGUGUAAGAAUAUAAGCUUCCAUUUUGGGAGUUCAAUUGGAACAUGAGUAAUAUAUAAUGGAUACAUACUAAUUAAAUUAUCACCAAUGGACUUUAAGUUUGAAUCUCGUAGUAAUUGCAAUAUAUAUCCCUUAACAAGUAUCCUUAAACGUACGUCGCCAAAAGCAAUAUCUACUUUUUAAAAGCCAAAUACAAACACGUAACAGAGUAUUUUUGGGAACAUUCAAUGGAUAGAAAGACCUGUAUUUUUUUUGCUCAAAAGAAAGACCUGUCUAAGUAACCUAAUCCACUGAAAAGGCUCUUGGCCAUAAGAAAAUAAGGACGCAGCAUAAAAGUGCAUGCGGUUGCUUUGGUGGCAGUGUAUAUAUCAGUAUAUACCAGGGCAUGAAAUCUGGCGACGAUGACUCCAAUUUGUGCAUUGAGUUAUACAAUUGUUUUGACGACUAGUACUUAUUUGAAUGGAUAAGGAUGCCAAAGGCAUGCAUUUGUUUUCCUUUAAAAGUUCAUGAGUUAUGUACAAGUUACCUUCAUAAUUCAAAUUCAAUCAAUCAUAUCAAAUGCUAAGAAAAUAAAUGAUAUUUUUUUUUAAUGACUGAACCCCAAAUCAAAAUUUGACUAUUUUAGAGCUUUUAAUAUAUUAAUAAAAAAGAAUAAUAUUAUAAUAUUUGUGUGUACAAUUUUUUUUAAUAAAUAUUUGUAAGAGUAUGCCGAUCACUAGUUUCGAGAUGUAUCUCAUAAAAAUAUGAGAGAAAACACAUUCGAUUUUCAUUUGAAAUUUUUUCACUUUAAGUUAUUCUAAUUAAGUUUAAUUAUAGAAUUAAAUUAUAAUAACAUACAAAAUUUCUUUUUAAAUUUUUUUAUUUUGGGUAUGAAGUUGCUACUUUUAAGAGCAUAAUUAUUGGAGGGUUAUACCUCAGUUUCUCACAAAUAAAAGACAAUAAAAAAGAAAUAUGAGAGAGAAAGCAUAAAUACAAUACUAAAAGGGGAAUAAGCUGAUCAGAGAGACCCUCCACGUCGACAGAUAAAAUCAGCCAAUAGGGUGCUUUCUUUUGUCCACGUCACACAGACUUGGCCUGAUCUUGGGCUUCUAAAUCCGUGCAAAAGAAAAGUCCAGCAUCGUACGUAACCAAACCCAGAAUAUGUGUGGCCCUAGCUCUAUCUCAUUUCAUCUCUUCGGUUCCACGGAGAUCUCUUCCACGACUCAUCUCUUGCCUUUUCUCCUUCUCGAACGGAUCGAUCAAUAAGACGUGGUAUCCUCCUCCGAGCCGAUCAAACUGGAGUCUCUCUCGAUACAGCUGCCUCCGGCGAUUCGAAGUAUAAGAAGCAAGACGACAAAGUUAUGUUUGAUAUGUUUAAUUUCUUUUGCACCUUUUUUAGUAUCUUUGUGGUUUUUUUCCCUCAGUUAUGUUUGAUAUGUUUACUGAUUCGGAAUUUGGUCUGAUUCUACGCUUCUGAUUUGAUAGAUGAACAAAUAAAUGAAUCAGAACCAUUGAUUCGAUCGAGUGGAGGCAGAGCGUCUGAAGCUUUGAUGUCAUCGAGAAAAAUCUUUUGUCUUAGAGAGUUUAAGAGUUCCAGGGGAACAGGUUUAAGAUGAUAAAGGCAAGGAUGAUGAUGAAGAAUCAAGGCAAGCCAAAUUGUACCAUGAUAUUUUCUUCGUUUCUUUGAAAUUUUAGUUUCUUAGACGGACUACUGUGACCUAUUCUCAACUUAAGCAACAAACUUUCAGAGUCAUCGAGUCAGUCAUGGAAUCUGCUGCCAAGAAAAAGCAAAGAAAUACCUUUUUGUACUGAGGCUUGCUCAUAUAAGACAACAGUAUGUCUAAAUGUUCGUCGAACUUGAGGGGUGGAUGGAUAUAAGGUUUUUAAUCCUUAAUAGCUUUGGGAUGCUGUACCGUUACUGAAAAGCUAUGGGAGAAGGGCUCCAUCAGGAGGACAGCGUGUUGAGGAAGGCGGUAGGGAAAACGAAAAAAAGGGUGGUGAAGUAACAGAGAAUCUCCUGGACAUUGACCCGCUAGGAAACAUGGUUAGAAAUGAUAUUCAAGUGUAGAAUAAUAAAGAAAGAAAAACUUCAAAGGAUAAGGAAGAGUAGAAGACAAAACCAAGUGGACCACCAAUAUUGUUGAUGAGAAGAUCGAUAUGUUUGCCUUUGGUGUAUUGGUUCUAGAAGUCAUAACCAGUCGUAGAGCUGUUUGAUACAACAUAAGCCAUGUCGGCGGUGGUGGUGAAUGCGUGCUAUUUCAGGAUCACACAGCCCCCUCAUACCUAAAACGAACUCAUGUGCCACGGGCAAUUCCUAAUGGAGUGAGUAGAAUCAAUCAAAUAAAAAUUGAUGUCUGGUAACUAAUGUGCUUAUGUCUUGCCUUAGUCACCCUUGACUGAGUUUUGUUUCUUAAUAUUCUUUAUUGGUUGCUUCUUUUAUUUCGUCAACCAAACGGUGAAUAUCACCUAGAUGUGUCUCUAUGUUGUUUUACUGAUCUUUGUUUAGGCUCAAACCCCGAAGGAGUUGUCAAUAUUCUACAGAGUUCAUUAUAGUUUUAACCUAAGCAUAAAACCCCAGUGGACAAAGAAACUCCCAGAUUAAAAAGUGUUAAAUAUAUGGACCUUAUUAGCAACAAGCUCUGCUUCCUUAUGUCCUCUACAAUCUUUUUUUUAUGUUCGUUCAUCUUAGGAAAAAUAUAAAUUUAUUUUUGCUUUGUACAUGGUAAAUUAUGAAUUCUGGAGAUAUUAUCAUUAAUGAAACUUUGGGGCUGAUAGUGUGUUUAAAUACAGAUGCACAUCGAUAACUUUUUACAAUUUUUUUUAAAAUUCUACUUUGUUUCUCAGUUUCCUGAAUUCAUUUUUAAAACUGUUUCCAAAACAACUGAGAUUUGUUUCUAUUCUCACGUUUGUUAUAUUAUCUUCUACACAAUCAAUACCCAUGACUAAUACAUCUACACGUGUGUGAUGCAUUAAUUACAUUUGCAUGAAUUUUCAUCAGCAUGCCUUUGUAACUCCUUUCCCUGAGGUUCCACAUGGGGCAGAAACUAAAGACCAAUCCCAAGUUCACACAGAAGAAACUGAAGCUCAAUCUGAUGUUCCAGAGGAAGUUCUUUUUCCUUAGUUAUUUUUCCUUCUCCAGACGAAGGUUGUGCUGAGGAGGAACGGGUGGGUAAAGAGACUGAUGGAAAUUCUGAGGAUGACUGUAGGGAAGUUUGAUGCAUAGAAACAGAGAUGAUGUCAGAUGUCACUAGACAUCCAGAGGAAAAAUAUUCCGCAGAGCAGUUCAUAUAGAUUUGGCGUUGUUAAUGCAGAAGAAGAACCAGUAUCUUUGACAGAGCCAAAGAACCUACAACUAUCCAUUGAAGAAGAACCAGUGUGUGUGACAGAGCCAAAGAACAUACAACCACCAACUGAAGCUGAAAAGGAAGAGAAGGAAGAGGAGGAAGAAGAAGAAAGAGUAAAGGAAGUGAGUAGUGCCUCUACUGAACCAAAACAAGAAAGCAAACUCAUCAAAACCCCUCCACCAUGCUGAUUUCAAAUCAUCUCCUGAUGAGUUUGGUACAAGCCGCCUUAGUAGUAGUAUUUAUCACUCCCUCUCCUGAAAAGCCAUUCUCUUGGCUUACGGAGAGAGAAUCACAACCGGUCCGAGGCAUGAAACUGACUAGAAGCCGGAGCUGCAGAGCAAGCGUGUUAUCGAGUUCUUCCCCAUCUUGGUUUGAGAAAGAUGCUGCUGACACACCGCCAAGUUGGUACGACAAAGGAUUCUUCAUCAAAGCAGCUGAAAUGCGCGACAUCAAGAAUGAGAGGUUGCUGCAGGAUGAGUUUAGCGGGAGGAGCAUGCCAACAAGAUGGAUCGAGAGAAGCUUGAGCGACACCCAAACUGCGUAUGCUACUUCUUCUUCACAUAACGAAAUGUCGUCAUCACCAAAUGAAUCGCUCUCCCGCCCUCUGAUGUUUCUGUGUUUGAGCUUCAGAGCCCUUCUACAAGCCAGGAGAAAACUGAGGAAACUGCUGCUCAGAAACACAAGCGAAACAUUCAUCGCUCGGUUAGUUUUUUUGGUUCAAGUUUACCUUUUUUUUUUAACUUUAUCAUAAAACAUUUUAUAAUUUCUCACAUUAAUGAUAUAGUUACAUUUGAUUUAUGAUAAAUUAACAACUAUGCUAUUGUUUAUAUGGGAUAAACAAGCAGUUUCUUUCAAACAAAUAUAUUGAACAACAAAGGAACAAUCCUUAAAUAUAUAAAUGUCAGACAAAUAUUUUCAAUUAAUUAUGUACGAUUUUUUUUUUUUUGAUAAAUGACGUAAAUAACAUAUGCAAAUUUAUACUCGGUUCAGCAUUAUUAAAAAAAUCAUUUUCAAGAACUUCAUAAACAUUAUUCAAAACUCUAAUUGGGUAUUUUAACAAAUAAUUAUUUACAAAAUAAUAAAUACCAAAAAGUUUAAUAUUGAAAAUAAUUAUGGCUUCAAAACUUAAAAAAUUGCUGAAUCAUUUUAUUGGUUAUCGAAAUUUACAGAAGUAUUCAAAAUUAUUACACAUUUAUAAAAUUAUAUAUUUAUAUGAAAUAAAGGUUAUUUACCUAUACUUCAAAAAUCAGACGAUAUAU